UUUCUCGUGGUGUCUUGUGGGAGUGGCGGUGCGAUCCCUCUCAGACUUGUGAGUCCCUGCUGGAGUCAGAAGUUUUAGGCGAAUCCCAGGCGCGCCAAGGAAAGUGCUACAAAAGCCAUCCAUCUUGCAAGCGUUGGUGCCGAGGCGCAACGCUGAGAACGCAAAUACUAAAGGGCGCUGUUCUUUCCUCGUGGAGCUCACAGUCCGCUGGGGAGACCGUGAGAUGACAGCAGAGAAACUAGCGCGAUCAGUAGUACUCAGCGCAAGGACAGCGAGCAGAGAAGGCAAACCUAGUGCUUGCUAAGGAAGACUUCACAGAGGAGUCACACCUUAAAAAAAAAAGGAGGGGUUAUUCCUGCUUUUGCCGUGCUGUGAUCCAGGGCAGAGCUCCAGGCUUCAUACGGUAAAACUCUCUGGGAAGGAAAGGAACUCAGAGUCCCAUGCAGAAAAUUGUUCAGCUGGAGGGGUAUCAGAAAGAUGGAUUUCCAAAGCCAACUGUUUCCUGUAGUGUGUGGAUCUCUGCAAGCAGAGCCUCAUCUUUCAAUUUCAGCUACAUGAAAGAGGAAGAAAGGGAAAGAUAUAUGUCAUACGUGAUAUACUUUAUGUGGCUUUGAAGACCCCUCUUUUGUGGGGCUACGGCUAAAGAACAUAGUUCCCUGGGAUGGAAUUGGCUCUUCCUAUUUCCCUACUUCAUGAAAACUCCAGUAGAAGACCUUAGAACCUUGUCCUGGUUACAUGGAUAUGUUUACUUUGUGAAAAUUCAUCAAGCACUAUGCACGGUCAUGAUUUGUACAUUUUUUUGUAAGAUAACUUCAUUAAAAUUUACUUUUUUUAUUUUUAAAAAAAAAAAAAAAAAAAA
rnacentral:lncRNA from 1 species